rnacentral:lncRNA from 1 species
GUACCUGUAUGCCAGUAAUAAUAGAACAAUUUCUGACACAAUUGUUUGUCCAUUUGUGGACAUCAGCCAAAAUAGGCAGGAGAGAGCACUAUCGAACUAAUCAUUUUUUUUACCCAACUAUGUAUGUGUUCUUUUUCAAGAACUGAUCCUGUAAUACAUACUGAAUGGCCACACAUGUAUGAUAUAAUGAACUAUAGGGCCUUAAAAGUGUGAUGAGAGUACAUUUUAUAAAGCUCCACAAGAUCACAUGAAGCCUCUGCCAAAUGAAAUAUACAAAAUACUGACAAAAAUUCACACUUUUGCACAAAGGGCAUACUUUUGAACAUGCUCGAUGACACCCACUGAACUUGCGCAAUUGACUGGUGGGAGCAAGCAACAACUUUGAAGUAUGCAAAGGCAUCUUGUUUCUCCAGAAAAAAGCAGGGGCACAUCUCCAUAUCAAUAAAUAGUUGCUGAUCCAUCAGUGAGCAUGCAUCACAAAGAAAAUGUUGAAAGAAAAACCAGGUGGACCGGGUGGACCAGCUACAACUCCUCCUCUGGACUGAUUGCUACGGCGAGGUGGAGCUGAUGGAGGCGGAGAUCACAAGCGGCACUGGGAUUUGGCCACUACAGGGAAUCCCAGCGACUACCAAGCCAUCCUUGAUGUACUAAUUAUGGUGAUGUAUUUUGUACUGCCAAAACACCUGCAAGAUGAACUGAAGGGGAGCGUCGUCACCUGCAAGCUGAACUGAAAAUGCCGGCUAAGGGGACCUGAAGAAUCACCAAAUGUUGAACUGAAUAUACACAAGUGAAGGAGCAUGAACGUACACGGUAGCUCUAUGUGUACACAACAAUAACUGAGCAUAUAUGUCUAAGAUGAAGGGUAACACACCUCAAGAUAGCAAUGGACUUCCAAUAUUCAUCUUUUUGAGCUGCUGCCUUUUAUUUUAUUUUUUGCAUCCUGCAAAAAGAAAAUGGACCAAAAUUUCAAAGAUGAACUGAAAAAGACUAACAUAAUUCAGUAGAGAUGGAUGUGAAAAAUGAUGAGCAUCCCAAAUAGUAUAAUCAUUGAGGCUGUGGUAAUUACAUCGUCCUUUACAUACUGAUGUUCUACUAGUAGUCUACUAAGUUGUACUUACGUGCAUCCACUUUUGGAAUUCAGAGUAAGAAGUAUUAGCUGAAACAAAACAGUACUCAUUUCAAGUAGGGAGUCAUGUUCUUGCGCCUACAUAUUACAAUCUUGAUUUCUUACUUUAGAUUCUAGUAUCAGAAUCCAAUGAUGAACAAGGCUUUAUAUACUACAGUGCAUUUCAUACUUCUUUGAAGUUUUAUUCAGAAUUUCCUAGGUCAAGGCUCUGGGCAAAUCUAUAGUUUCGGACUGAGCUUUUUUAUAUAUAAAGGUAUGAAAGGCAUAGUAUGAAGACAAGAAGAAUGGGGAGAGACCUGCAUGUGACAUACAUAACAAAAUGUUCAGAACUAGUAUCGCAGCAUAAUAAUAUGUGAGUACAAGUGUGCAGCACAACAACGCAAUUGUACAAGUGAUACCAGGGCACAAGUUAUCUGCAUUCCUUUGAUUACACUACUCUGGCUAGAAUUUAGUAACUAACACUAGACUCCUAUCAAGAUAACCUGGUUCAGUCCAGCUCCAAAACAAUUCACUUUAUUAAGAUUAGAAGGAAUAGGAAACUCAAGCGUAUUCUCAGUUCAGAGAAGUGCAAGCAUUUUGAAUACCAAACAACAAAAAAUUAGCUCUCAUAAGCAUUUCAACAAGCACCUAUAGAGCAUCAAU